rnacentral:rRNA from 1 species
UACGAGAGGCCCAAACGUUAUUCGGAAUUACUGGGCUUAAAGAGUUCGUAGGCGGCAUGAAAAGUAGGGUGUGAAAGCCCUCGGCUUAACCGAGGAAUUGCGCUCUAAACUAUCGUGCUAGAGGAACCUAGAGGUGAGCAGAACAGAUGGUGGAGCGGUGAAAUGCGUUGAUAUCAUCUGGAAUACCGGAGGCGAAGGCGGCUCACUGGGGGUUUUCUGACGCUGAGGAACGAAAGCCAGGGUAGCGAACGGG